AGUACGGGUUGCAUUUCGAUCCCCCGGUGGCAUCUCCUUUGGAGGUGUCGGCGGCGCUUUCGGUGUAUCUCGUCUAGCGAUGGGACGACGCAUGAGUGGUGAUUAGGAUAUGUUUUCCUAGCAGGCUCCAUGCAUCUUGCGUCGAACUGCUUGGGUAUAUCUAUUUCAUUAGUGGGUUUCCUUGGUCGGUCGCCACUACUUGUUGGGUUCCUGUGCUUGGUACUGAAUUUUGUAGCUGGAUGGAUUGCUCUUCCCCGUCAUGGUUUUUUUAUCCGCCUCCGCUUCGUGCGGCGAUGGUGGAUAUUGUGCGGGCAUCGAGGUUUUCCUCUCGAGCCGUUGUCCCCCUUUGGGUGCUUCCGGUUGAGAUGGCACGUAGAUGCUAACGUCACUCUCGGGUACGGAGAUUUUGUGGUUAUCGCAUUGGCCUUCGGCCUUUGUGAUCGUAAUGUAUGGAAGCUUUCUUUCUUCUGAAUGUAUGACCCUCGUUCUCGUCCGAAGAGUUCACGGAGCGUCUUUGCUUGGUGUUCUUCUCGGGGAGCCAUCGAGGUAUACAAAGGAAUGCUACCUGGUUGAU
rnacentral:misc_RNA from 1 species